rnacentral:rRNA from 1 species
GACGAACGCUGGCGGCGUGCCUAAUACAUGCACGUAGAACGCCGUUGCGAACGGGUGAGUAACGCGUAGGUAACCUGCCUCAUAGCGGGGGAUAACUAUUGGAAACGAUAGCUAAUACCGCAUACUGUGAGAUGGACCUGCGUGGUAUGAGCUAGUUGGUGAGGUAAAGGCUCACCAAGGCGACGAUACAUAGCCGACCUGAGAGGGUGAUCGGACACACUGGGACUGAGAAACGGCCCAGACUCCUACGAGACGCAGCAGUGGGGAAGUUUGGACAAUGGGGGAAUCUCUGAUCCAGCCAUCCCCCGGGUGGGAUGAAGGCCUUCGGGUUGUAAAGCACGUGUGGCAGGCAAGCGGUACCUGCAGAAUAAGCACCGGCUAACUCCGUGCCAGCAGCCGCGGUAAUUC